CUAAACUAUCAUGGCUGCAACACAACUGCUCUGACAUGUGAAGAACAUACAUUGGCUUUCAGAUUACUUGUCAAGUCUCCAAUGUUUCCGCAGCAAGGCUGGAGGCCAGCCUUCUCUCUCGGCUCUGCAGAGAAAACCCGGAGUUGCUCCCGCCUUACACCAGUGGAGAAAGCAGCAGAGUUUACCCCCAGGCACUGCCCAUCACAGAUAUGAAAGGAGCAGCACAGACAUCGAGGGAAAACAGUCAGGGCCGAUGCUAUGGCCAAGGAUAUCAGACCUGCCAUGCACUUCAGCUUCACUGCUCACCAUUGGUGCCCCCUGGGCUUGCUCAGGGCACAGAAUCUACAGAGACUUCAGCUCACAGACCAUCAGGCAGCAAACCCAUGACCUCCUGUGGAAGGCACAGCUCAGAAGCCUGGAGAUUGGGAAGCAAAAAUCAAUACAGGCUGGCAGGUGAUCAAGUUGCUUGACAGUGGUGUUGAGGAGAGAAACAGAGAGAAAGAGAGAGAGAAAGCGGAUGGAGAGCGAGGACAGAGGUGACUAAGUACCCUGAACUACAGGCCCCAGCUCGGAGGGCCCAGCUCGUCCCAGCUGCAAGCACAGCGGUGCAGUAACAUCGCUGCCACAGGCAUGUCUGGCGCCCACGGCUGCCCAGGAUGAARGCAGGGGUAUUUUAUCACACACACCCAUGCCGUGGCCUCUGAGCACCCAGCAAUGCAAUCCUGCACCCCACCACCACUCAGCCCUCUUACAAGUGAGACAGAGCUGCCACAGGUCACAGCCAGCUUGGAGAUUGCCUACAAAACCCCUCACAGCCACUUGGUUUCCURCCAGGAGAGACCGACACUGCAUCAGCUGGGGUCCCUGUUUGCCCAUCGUUUGCGAAAGCCCCCGUUCAUGAGCCCACCUGCACUGUGCAGAA
rnacentral:lncRNA from 1 species